UACGUAGGGUGCAAGCGUUGUCCGGAAUUAUUGGGCGUAAAGAGCUCGUAGGCGGUCUGUUGCGUCGGCUGUGAAAACCCGGGGCUCAACUCCAGGCCUGCAGCCGAUACGGGCAGACUAGAGUUCGGCAGGGGAGACUGGAAUUCCUGGUGUAGCGGUGAAAUGCGCAGAUAUCAGGAGGAACACCGGUGGCGAAGGCGGGUCUCUGGGCCGAUACUGACGCUGAGGAGCGAAAGCGUGGGGAGCGAACAGG
rnacentral:rRNA from 1 species